ensembl:snRNA U6 U6 spliceosomal RNA
GUGCUCGCUUUGGCAGCACACAUACUAAAAUUGGAAUGAUAUGAGAAGAUUAGUGUGGCCCCUAUGCAAGGGUGAGAUGCAAAUUCAUGAAGCAUUCCGUAUUUUU